GUUCCUAAUCCCGUAUGAUUUGGCCUAGGGAACCUGGACACAGACGUGCACAGAGGGAAGACCGUGCCAAGACCCAGGAAUAAGCCAUCUACAGGCCAAGGAGAAAGGCUUCAGAGGAAAUGAAGCUUGAUGACACGUGGGACUUCUAGCCUUCAGAACUGUCAGCAAAUUGUUGUUGUUUCAGUCACCCAGUGUGUGGUACCAAGUCAUGGUAGCUUGGGCCAACGAAUACGUUCCCAUAUCAAUGACCUGUAUCCAUAUUGUUAUGGAGUGUAAAUGUUGUGUGGCCCUACUACCACGUCCACCAGCUCAGUCAGACCACAGCCGUCGUGUCUCUUGGAGUCAUAGGUCUCUGGAUCAAAAGGAGCCACAUGUAAGGAGCUGUGUCUGGUCCUGAUGUGGAUUCCAACACUCUAGACUCCUAGCCCGGUGCAGUAGGGUGAGACUUCUGGGUGUCCGUGGGCCAGGUGUACAUAUUUUACAUGUGGGAGGGACGUGAAUAAUUUGUAGUCAGAGGGAGGCCUGUGAUAAGAUGAUGCCAUUAAUAACCCCAAUUUUUAAUGUGUCCCCCCCAAAAAAUAUAUGUUCAAGUCCUAAACUAAUCUCUGGUACCUGUGGAAGGUGACCUUAUUUGGAAAUAGCCUUCAAAGAUAUAUUCAAGUUAAAUUGAGGUCAUACUGGGGCUGGGCUUGUGGCUCAGUGGUAGAGCACUUACCUAGCAUGUGCAAGGCACUGAGUUCGAUUCUCAGCACCACAUAUAAAUACAUGAAUAAAAUAAAGAUCCAUCAACAUCUAUAAAGAAAUUUUAAAAAAUGAGGUCAUACUGGAUUAGAUGGGUCCUAAUCCAAUGUCUAGAGCCCUAACUAGAAGAGGAGAAGAGACAGAGUCAGCCACACAGAAAGGGAGACUUCUAUAUAAAGAUGGAGGCUGAUUGGAGGGAUAUGUUAGAAAGCCAAGGAGCACCAAGGACUUGCGACCAUCAGAGGCCAGAAGCUGGCAAGGAAGGACCCUUCCCUAGAGCCUUGGGGUGGAGCACAACCCUGUUCACACCUUGAUUUUGGACUUUUACCUUCCAGACCUCUGAGAGAAUAAAUUUAUGUUGUUUAACAUCACCUAGUCUGCAGGGUUGGGGUUGUGGCUCAGAGGUACAGCGCUCGCCUAGAUGCGUGAGGCACUGUGUUUGAUCCUCAGCACCACAUACAUAUAAAAUGUGUCUACCU
rnacentral:lncRNA from 1 species